UACAGAGGGGGCAAGCGUUAUUCGGAAUUAUUGGGCGUAAAGGGCGCGUAGGCGGCAUGGCAAGUGGAUGGUGAAAUCCCUCGGCUUAACCGAGGAACUGCCGUCCAAACUGCUUCGCUUGAGACCGGGAGAGGUGAGUGGAAUUCCCAGUGUAGCGGUGAAAUGCGUAGAUAUUGGGAGGAACACCAGUGGCGAAGGCGGCUCACUGGGACGUACUGACACUAAGGCGCGAAAGCGUGGGGAGCGAACAGG
rnacentral:rRNA from 1 species